AAACUGAGUAGUUACUACACUAUCAACUGAAGGUUUAGAGGUGGGGCAGUGUGUUGUUGUUAUAGGGUGAAGUAGUGACAUUUUUUAGAAUAUGCAGUGUGUUGUUAGUUACUGCCAGUUUAUAAUGAUUUAUGGAUGUUUACAUAAUAUCAAUGACAUUGCAUUUUUAUCACUGCAUUUUUCUCUUUGCCCGUGUGUGUAGGAUAUGCGGCGGCGAGGUGGAGCAAAGGUAGCAGCGGCCGUGGCGCCGGCUCCCUGGAUCGAUUUGCGGCGACGGGUGGGCGGUUCAGUCUAGCCGGCGCCUACCGCAUCUGCACCAAGAUGCUGAAGGCCACCAGGAGGACACCGUCGAGCCCGGGCCAGGCUGCUUGCUGCUUCCCACAACCUAGUGGCACAUCAAUUAAUGGAGGAGCGCAAAGAGAGGUUCUGACGAUCUACCUGAGUUUUGGGCUUGGCUGAUGAAGAUGGUGGCCGGAAUUUUGAAUCUUGAAACUAGCUAAAUUUGUAACAGAUAGAAUAUAUAUGAGUUUAUUUGUAAUUUGUAA